rnacentral:rRNA from 1 species
UACGUAGGGUGCGAGCGUUGUCCGGAAUUAUUGGGCGUAAAGGGCUCGUAGGCGGUUUGUCGCGUCGGGAGUGAAAACCAGGUGCUUAACACCUGGCUUGCUUUCGAUACGGGCAGACUAGAGGUAUGCAGGGGAGAACGGAAUUCCUGGUGUAGCGGUGAAAUGCGUAGAUAUCGGGAGGAACACCGGUGGCGAAGGCGGCCCCCUGGUUGGAUACUGACGCUGAGACGCGAAAGCGUGGGGAGCAAACAGG